UGGUAACCUAACUAGCUUUCUAACAAGCUAACAGUCUAGUUUCUGUUGCACAGGAAGUGUAAUGACUAAGGAUAUCAAUGGUGCUUUCAAGACAAAUGGUAACGAGGGAGAGAGAAAGAAAAAGAGGUCAAAAUCUGACAUCGUUUAUAUUCAGGUCGGAAAGUCGGAGCUCUACAAAGAUGUUCGCGUUUCUGACUUGGAAUUCCAAGUUGGAUGACCGUUCAAAAAUAUUUUUUCCCAGUCUGAGUUCGUAUUUUUACGAGUUGCCAGUUGUCUUCUAGGAACAUAGGGCGUAUAUGCUUGUUCCUAGGUUGUCUAAAACACACUGAAGUCGGAGAUUUCCGAUUUCCGACUUGUUUUGAACGCGGCAUCUGACUGUCUACCUGUCUGUCCAUUUGCUUAAUAUACUUAGGUCCACAAAGCAAUUUGUAACACUCGUCAUUUUUUUGUAUAAAGUCAUUCUGAAACAAUUUAUUAAAUCGUCUAGAAAGCAAAACAUGUAUAGGUUGCUAGCUUGCUACUGUACUCUAGCAACCAAAUAGUGUCGACUUGUUAAAAAACAAGAUCUCACAUUUCGUAAACAGGUGUGGACUUAACAAUGACACGUUACUUAGGGCCCUUCCCAACAAUGCAGAGAACAAAAAAAAAGAUCAAUAGAAACAUAUCUAUUAACAAGGAAUACACAAUCAUGAGUAAUGAUAACUUGGCUAUAUACGUUAUUCAAACUCGACAAUAACAUCUAGCUAACUAGGUUGGUGUUACCUAGCAGUUUACACAUCGGUGUGAUAUGACUAGCUAAUUCUCUAACAAACCCAGAUUUGACACGCCAAGACUGUCUAGCUUUGCUGCCGACUCGUUUCUGUUGCAAAGGAAGUGUAAGGACUAAGGAUAUCAAGACAACUGUAAAACCACAAGUUUCCGAGUUUGAUGAACAUUCAAAAAUAUUUUUCCCGGUUGGGACUCUCUACGAUACCUGACAUUUUUUUUUGUGUCGGAAAAACACGUCACGUCCGGGCUGACUGCACAGGUGUGCCACUGAGAGGCCUACUAAACCAGUGUCCUUAGAUUUCCAUAAUAAAAAUCGACCAAAUACAUGUUAUUUUUCCACACA